GCGCUGGUUGUGCUCAGUGGUUCUUGAAACUUUCUCAUCAGAAAUGUUCUGUUACCUCUGCAAAGGGGUUUGAACCCACGGGCGCUGUCCAGUGUUUUG
rnacentral:vault_RNA from 1 species